UGGGGAGCUCUCUUGGCCCUUUUCUCAUGCAGAUGAAAGCAGAUUGUGAUACCAUUUUUCUUGUGCAGAUUUCUUGGCUUAUCUAAACUCUGGAUCUCUGCAUGCUGACGAGGUUAGCAAGUUGCUCAAGUAACUGAGCAUGGAGAUGAAGACCGACAAAGUAUGCUUCAGAGAAAAGGUUCUUUGAAAAAUCUGUCUUUUUUUCGUACGAGUCUGCACAACUUUCUUUUACUCCCUUUAUGUUCUAAAGUUCUUCAUAACCACUUUAUCAUACAUCCCAAGAAAAAAUAAACUUACAUACUGAUGACUGCCUUGAAAAAACUCACAUACUGAAUAAUAUUUACAAGUAUAUUAGUAUGCAUUCUAGAUUAGUCCUGUUACUAAACAUGGCCACUUAAAAACUUUUUUGACAAGAACAUGUCAAUUAGCAGUUACAAACUUAGCUAGCUCGUGAGUUCUCAGAAGCUCUUUUGGGCUCAAAGCCCAUAGCUCUAUCUAAUAAGAAGCUCAUAAGGCUCAAAGCCUGUAAAUCUAUCGAAGAUGCAAUCUUAGGUUUGUUUGCUGGGCGCCUGGGCCGUUAGGCAAAACUUUGCAGCUUCAGAACUUGAUGAUAGCAUACUUGGAGUUAAAUGGCCAGUAUAUAUACUCUACAAAUUAUGAGAUGGAUGAUUCGAAUGGAGGACUUUGGUAUUUCACAGCUGAUUCAAGCGGAGUUUAGUAAUCGAGUUGGCACAUGUGAGCUAAUAUAUUCAUAGAGAAACAAUCUGUCCUCAAGGGUUAUGAUUGACAUAAAGCAUGUCUCAACCUAUGAACUCGGAGCAUGCAUGCUUGUGUUAUACAGAAGUUCAUCAUUCUUGCAAAAAUUUGGUUGCUGAUUCCACUGGCCCUUUUCUGGCAUUCAGCAAAUGGAGUGUUUGAUUGACAAGUUGAUCACUUUGGAUAGGGAAAAAAAAGUUCAGGGGAGAUAAGACAGUUCAGUAAGCAACAAAAACUGUCGGUGUCCUAUCAACUGCUAUCUUCAUCAUUGAGAUGGAUUUUAUACAGUGCACUAUGAUCAUGCAGUAUAAUCUCUAUCGUCAUCCAAAAGAGAUUUGCGUCCAAACCAUGAGACAUUCAGAUAGAAGCAGAGACCAUACUCCUGACGAACUCCCUUGGCCGUGGGAGACGGUGGUGUAGCCGUACCCGAGGACGUCCACGGCGAGCAGCCGGGGGCCUCCCCGCCAUCGCGGCGUCGCACGCCGUGAAGCGCUCCCCCGCGCCGCGGCGUGCGUCGACGCGAGCAGCGCCCGCCGCGCGGCCCAGCCGCAGCGACACCAGCGGCGCCCUGGCCGCGGCGGCGCGGCGAGCGGUGCAGCGGCGGCCUCUUGAGCAGGUGGAGGUGGCCGAGCACCGGCUGGCUCGGCGCUGCGUCGCCAUCACGCCUCCUCGUCCGAGGAAGGAUGGCAACCACCAAGAACAGAACGGCGAUGACGAUGAGGAAAGGGGCGGCGCCGCCGGUCACCGCCAUGGCCGCGCUCAUGGCAACCUCGAGACUACCACGGCCGACAGCAACAGUUACCGACAGUUAUAAUUACGAAUACAGAAAAAAAACUACUCCCUCCGUUUCGAAAUGUUCGACGCCGUUGACUUUUUUUUUUUUCACAUGUUUGACCGUUUGUCUUAUUUAAAAAAUUUAAGUAAUUGUUAAAUAUAUUUUUAUGUAGGCAUAUAAUUUUAUAUAUUUCACAAAAUUUUUUGAAUAAGACGAACGGUUAAAUAUGUACUAAAAAGUCAACGGUGUCAAAUAUUUCGAAACGGAGGGAGUACUAGCAUACGGAAUACUGUCCGAGCUAAGGGAUAAAUUAGAGGAUAAGGAUACCAGUUACUCAAUUAGUUAAUUACGCUUUAUCUGAUGUUGUUGCUCCUCCCUCAACUACUCGUCUCCGUUUUGUUUUUCUUUUUGAGAUAAUUAAGAUCAGACAGUAGUAUUUCCCA